rnacentral:rRNA from 1 species
AUUGAACGCUGGCGGCAGGCCUAACACAUGCAAGUCGAGCGGUUGACGGGAGCUUGCUCCCUGAUUCAGCGGCGGACGGGUGAGUAAUGCCUAGGAAUCUGCCUAUUAGUGGGGGACAACGUUUCGAAAAGAACGCUAAUACCGCAUACGUCCUACGGGAGAAAGCAGGGGACCUUCGGGCCUUUCGCUAAUAGAUGAGCCUAGGUCGGAUUAGCUUGUUGGUGAGGUAAUGGCUCACCAAGCCGACGAUCCGUAACUUGUCUGAGAGGAUGAUGAGUCAAUAUGGAACUGAGACACGGUCCAGACUCGUACGGGAGGCAGGAGUAGGGAAUAUUGGACAAUGGGAGAAAGCCUGAUCCAGCCAUGCCGCGUGUGUGAAGAAGGUCUUCGGAUUGUAAAGCGCUUUAAGUUGGGAGGAAGGGUUGUAGAUUAAUACUCUGCAAUUUUGACGUUACCGACAGAAUAAGCACCGGCUAACUCUGUGCCAGCAGCCGCCGUAA